rnacentral:rRNA from 1 species
AUCAGGUAAGGAGUUUGGCUGGGGUGGCACACUUGUUAAAAGAUAAUGUAGGUGUCCUAAGUUAAACUCAACGAGAAAAAAAAUCUUAUUUGGAAAAAAAAGGUAAAAGCUCAUUUGAUUCUAAUUUCCAAUAUGAAUACAAAUCUUAAAAGUGUGGCCUAUCGAUCCUUUAAACCUUCAGAAUUUUUCCCUAUUAACUUUCGAUGGUAGGAUAGUGGCCUACUAUGGUGGUGAUAGGUGACGGAGAAAUAGGGUUUGAUUCUAGAGAGGGAGCCUAAAAAAUGGCUACCACAUCCAAAAAAGAUAGUAGGCAUGCAAAUUACCCUACCUUGACACGGGGAGGUGUGAUAAUAAAUAACAAUACUAGGCUCUAUAAGCUUGAUAAUUGGAAUGAGUACAAUCUAAAUCCCUUAAUAAAGAUCCAUUGGAGGAUAAGUCUAGUGCCAACAGGUACAAUAAUUCUAGCUCCAAUAGCAUAUAUUUAAGUUGUUAUAGUUAAAAAGCUCGUAGUUGAAACUAGGGUUGGGUUAUCUUAUUUGCCUUACGAUGAGCAUUAGUCUACUCAUUGGUACUAAAGACGAUAAGCUACUAGCCUUAACUGGCCAAGUCAUUUCUCCAACACUAUUACUUUGAAAAAAUUAGAGUGCUCAAAAAAGGCCUACACUUGAAUACAUUAGCAUGGGAUAACAUCAUAAGAUUUGGGUCCUAUUAUGUUGGCCUUCGAAAUCAGAGUAAUGAUUAACUGGGACAGGUAGAGGCAUUCAUAUUCAAUAGUCAGAGGUGAAAUUCUUAGAUUUAUGAAAGAUGAACAACUGUGAAAGCAUUUGCCAAGGAUGUUUUCAUUAAUUAAGAAUGAAAUUUGGAGGCUUGAAGAUGAUCAGAUUUUGUCCUAGACUCAACCAUAAAUGAUGUUGACCAAGGAUCAAUGAAUGUUACUUUUAAGACUCUACCAACGGUUUAUGAGAAAUCAAAGUCUUUGGGUUUCGAAGGGAAUAUGGUUGCAAUGAUAAAACUUAAAUGAAUUGAUGGAAGGGCAUCACUAAAAGUGGAGCUUGCAGUUUAAUUUGACUCAACAUAAGGAAAUUUACUAGGUCUAAACAUAGUAAGGAUUGAUAGAUUAAGAGCUUUUUCUUGAUUUUAUGGGUGGUCGUGCAUGGCCAUUCCUAGUUGGUGGAGUGAUUUACUUGGUUAAUUCUAUUAAUGAACGAGACCUCAGCUUGCUAACUAGCUAUGCAGAGGUGAUCCUUUGUGGCUAGCUUCUUAGAGGGACUAUGGCCACUUAGGCCAAAGAAGUUUGAAGCAAUACUAGGUUUGUGAUACCCUUAGAUGUUUUGGGCUACACAUCGCUACAUUGAUGUAUUCAACCAGUCUAUAGCCUUGGUCAAUAGGCUAGGAUAAUCUUUGAAAUUUCAUUGUGCUAGGGAUAGAUCAUUUCAAUUAUUGGUCUUCAAUGAGGAAUUCCUAGUAAAUACGGGUCUUCAACUCGCAUUGACUAUGUCCCCACUCGUUGUACAUGCCACCCAUCGUUCUUAUCAAUUGAAUGAUCUGGUGAAGUGUUUGGAUUAAAAAGAUGUGGAUAAUUCACUGCUCAUGUCACGAGAAGUCUACUGAACCUUAUCAUUUAGAGGAAGGAAAAGUUGUAGUAAGGUUUUUGUAGGUGAACCUACAAAAA